rnacentral:SRP_RNA from 1 species
GCCAGGCAUGGUGGCGCAUGCCUGUAAUCCCAGCUACUUGGGAGGCUGAGGCAAGAGAAUCACUUGAACCCAGGAGGUGGAGGUUGCAGUGAGCCAAGAUCAUACCACUGCACUCUAGCCUGGGUGACAGAGCAAGACUCUGUCUCAA